GGAUUUGUCAUUAAUAUAGAUGCACAGAUGCUGAUGAUUCCAGAACUGCUCCAAGUUCAUCGCUAUGUGCUCACCUCCAGGUUCAUCCAGGAUCCCUUGGAGCUCCUAUUUAAUUCAAUCAGAGUGUCAGCUGCACGCCAGUUCCAAGCCAUUUCCGCCGUCUGGUGGUUCUUUGUGGUGUCGCACAGAGAGCCCAAGGUCUGGUGACGUAUAUCACGGGACCUUUGGUGGCCUAGGAUGGAAAAACAAGACAAUUCUCACAACAGACAAAACUCGUAUUUUCUGACAUUACCACAGUAAAAUAAUUAGUUCCU